rnacentral:rRNA from 1 species
AACGAACGCUGGCGGCAGGCCUAACACAUGCAAGUCGAGCGCCCCAGCGAUGGGGAGCGGCGGACGGGUGAGUAACGCGUGGGAACGUACCCUUUGCUACGGAAUAGCCUCGGGAAACUGGGAGUAAUACCGUAUGUGCCCUUCGGGGAAAGAUUUAUCGGCAAAGGAUCGGCCCGCGUUGGAUUAGGUAGUUGGUGGGGUAAUGGCCUACCAAGCCGACGAUCCAUAGCUGGUUUGAGAGGAUGAUCAGCCACACUGGGACUGAGACACGGCCCAGACUCCUACGGGAGGCAGCAGUGGGGAAUCUUAGACAAUGGGCGCAAGCCUGAUCUAGCCAUGCCGCGUGAGCGAUGAAGGCCUUAGGGUUGUAAAGCUCUUUCAGGGGGGAAGAUAAUGACUGUACCCCCAGAAGAAGCCCCGGCUAACUCCGUGCCAGCAGCCGCGGU